GAAUCUUUUUUCUUCCUGGACCAAACUAAAGUGAACUUCGUUCCUGUCUGAUAUUUAUCCAGCUUCAAAAGUGGAAGCACCUGAAGCUACUUUGUUCAAGUUUCCUGAGUUUCUGGGAAGGCCUGGUUUCCCCAAAGGAACGAUUUCUGGUAGAAUUCUGGAAGUCUGACCCAAGAAAAAUAAUCCAGUAUAGCCAAUGAAUUGAGGACAAGAAGUUUUCCAAUCAGCAGUUUAAGCCAGGAGAGUAAAUCCAGUUCCUAUUACUCCAUCCUGUCCAGAAGCACAGGUCUUAAGUGAAAUUUAAUACCAAAGAAACAGUUCCAAAUUUUACAACGGAUCUAUCACUGGUUGUUAGCAUAUCUUCCCACACCCAAGACACCAAGAUACCUUCUACUCACUGUUAAAGCUUUAUGAUGAGCAAAACUUCCACCACUGUGCUUCCUUAGCAUCCAACAAUAUGAAAACCUGAAGCCAAGCUGACAAAUAGAGUGUGAAGGGCCUUCUACUGCAUUUAAGAAAAAACUGAGACUUGCUAUAGGAGACACAGUCUACUGGAGAGAGGCAGAACUGUGAACAGAUGACUGCAUAAAGAGGCAAAGUCAAGUCUUAUUUAUUCAGAGGAAGAAGUCCCCGUGAUCAAGCAACAAGUAAAAUCAUUUCAGUGUGCAAGACAUGGAUUUGUGAUUGAAAAUGCACAAGCAUAUUUAUUAUCCAUCAUAGAUGAUCACCUAUUAUAAUCAGUGAGAUUUCUUAAUGGCACAGCAUCUAGAGGAGGACAUCAAGCAUGAACCUGUCAUAUUCAGAAAAUUACAAGCUUCUUAAAAAAUCGACUGUGCACAGAUCUAACUUUCUGGCCUACAUUUGCAGCACUGGAGACUACUAUUGAAAUAUUAAUUCAAAGGAUAUUUUAGAAAACAUUAUAGACAGAACUCUACCAUAAAAGAACAUAUGUAAAUAUAGCAUAUUUUCUGAUGUUAUUGAAUCAUCUUAAAUAUUGGUUAAUGCAAAUUUCAAUCUCUAAGGCACUUCUACAACAUACCUGAAAAAUGAUCGUCAUCUUGUACUUGAAUGUCCUCACUGAGAAAGAAAUUGCCAACUCAAAAUAAGUUUAUUUCAUUUUUAGGAAGCUCUAAUUGUUAGAAAACUCACUCUUAAAAUAAGUUAAAAUCUCUAUUCCUCAACUUCUAUGCAUUUUCUUGGUUUUUAAAUUAGGGGCAACUUGAUCUUUUUUUGAUUUGACACCUCUAACAUAGCUAAAGCUGGCGUUCAGGUCCUUUGCCCACUUACCUACUCUUCAUAAUUAUUUUAUUAAAAGAAAUAUAUUGUGGUAUAAUAUAAAAAAUAUACUAACUUGAAUGUCCACUUUAAUGAAUUUUGACAAAUGUAAAAAUUUUGUAACUCUGUUUCCAUCAAGGUAGACAAUUUUCCUAUUACCCCCCUUUGCAGUUUUCCCUUUCCUCUUUGCAGUCACUCUCUACUCCAUAUUUGAUACAGGCAACUGCUGAUAUGUUUUCUGUCGCCAUAGAUUCAUUUUUCCUUUUCUAGAAAGUCAUAUAAACAGAAACAUAAAGUACAUACUCUUGUGUGUCUAGCUUUUUUCUCAGCAUAGUGUUUCUGAGAUUCAUCCUUGUUGCAUUCCUCAUAAUUCUAUCCUUCUACUGCUGUAUGAUAUGACAUUGUAUGGAUAUACCACAACUGGUUCACCCAUAUAAAUCUUGUUGGAGAUUUUCUGAUGAUGGCCAUUCUGACCGGUGUGAGGUGAUACCUCAGUGUAGUUUUGAUUUGCAUUUCUCUAAUGCUUAGUGAUGUUGAGCAUCCUUUCAUGUGUUUGCUGGCAAUCUGUAUAUCUUCUUUGGAGAAAUGUCUAUUUAGGUCUUUUGCCCAUUUUUAGAUUGGGUUGUUUGUUUCUUUGAUAUUGAGCUGCAUGAGCUGCUUCUAAAUUUGGGAGAUAAAUCCUUUGUCAGUUGCUUCAUUUGCAAAUAUUUUCUCCAAUUAUGAGGGUGGUCUGUUCGUCUUGUUUAUGGUUUCUUUUGCUGUGCAAAAGCUUUGAAGUUUCAUUAGGUCGCAUUUGUUUAUUUUUGUUUUUAUUUCUCUAGGAGGUGGGUCCAAAAGGAUCUUGCUGUGAUUUAUGUCAUAGAGUGUUCUGCAUAUGUUUUCCUCUAGGAGUUUGAUAGUGUCUGGCUUUACAUUUAGGACUUUAAUCCAUUUUGAGUUUAUUUUUGUGUAUGGUGUCAGGGAGUGUUCUAAUUUCAUACUUUUACAUGUACCUGUCAAGUUUUCCCAGCACCACUUAUUGAAGAGGCUGUCUUUUCUCCACUGUAUAUUCUUGCCUCUGUUAUCAAAGAUAAGGUGACCAUAUGUGUGUGGGGUUAUCUCUGGGCUUUCUAUCCUGUUCCAUUGAUCUAUAUUUCUGUUUUUGUGCCAGUACCAUAUAAAUGCUGGAGAGGGUGUGGAGAAAAGGGAACCCUAUUGCACUGUUGGUGGGGAUGUAAAUUGAAACAGCCACCAUGGAGAACUGUAUGGAGGUUCCUUGAAAAACUAAAAAUAGAACUACCAUACGACCCCGCAAUCCCAGUACUGGGCCUAUACCCUGAGAAAACCAUAAUUCAAAAAGAGUCAUGUACCAAAAUGUUCACUGCAGCUCUAUUUACAAUAGCCAGGACAUGGAAGCAACGUAAGUGUCCAUCAUCGGAUGAAUGGAUAAAGAAGAUGUGGCACAUAUAUACAAUGGAAUAUUACUCAGCCAUAAAAAGAAACAAAAUUGCUGUAUUUGUAGUGAGGUGGAUGGACCUAGAGUCUGUCAUACAGAGUGAAGUAAGUCAGAAAGAGAAAAACAAAUACCGUAUGCUAACACAUAUAUAUGGAAUCUAAGAAGAAAAAAAAAAGGUCAUGAAGAACCUAGAGGUAAGACGGGAAUAAAGACACAGACCUACUAGAGAAUGGACUUGAGGAUAUGGGGAGGGGGAAGGGUAAGCUGUGACAAAGUGAGAGAG